AGCCCAGAUGUGAGAGCUCAGGUGGGGCCUAAACAGGUUGCAGCAACUGAGGGAGGCUGUUACUGGAAAAGAGAAGUUGAAAUUGCUUGCAGAACCAAUCUUCUGCCUUUCUGGAUCUAAGCCUUAUGAGGAAAUGCCUGUGACAAAAGACCUUCUGUGAGGGCGACCAUCGGAUCAACAUCAAUAAAAUAGUGCACCAGAACCAUGGCUAUAAGAAGAACAGGUUCCCAUGGGAAAAGUCUCAUAAAGCCAAAUUUCAAGUUAUAGCCACCCCACGGAAACUGCUUGAAAUGGCCUCCAUAUGUCACCUGCUCCAUGGGAUUCCAAGGAUGUGCACUCUCCAUUCAACAGCAAUGUUUCAUGUGGCAAGCUACUGUACAAAUUGUGGUAAUUUGAACACCCUGCAAUAGCAGUUAGAAAUUUGGGGUACUAGUGUUUUAAGGGGGGGGGCUUUUUUUUUUACACCCACAGUCUUAAGUGUCUUCACAAAUAGUGUGCACGUGCUGCUGCCAUCAAUAAAUAGUGUGUGGCUUCCCUGUUCUGCUUGUUUCUCCUCCAGUCUUGCUGUAAUUCUUUCCAAGAGAUGGGGCAGGAGGGGUGUGUGUGUGGUGCACUCCUAGUAAUAAUUAUAUUGUUCACCCCAGAAAAUGAAUCCAUAUUAGACUUGUUAAGUCCAAUACCCUGGGGUUCUAGGGCUGACUGUUAAGGUUCAUCAUAGGCACUUGUGGCAAUCUUUUCAUACAUUUUAUUUGUAUGAGUUGGGGAAUGAGGCCUUCCAGGCUCAGGGUGGGAUUCAACUGGGUCCCAUCAACAAACCCUUGUGCAAAAACUUCCCCUUGUGCAAUGGGACUCCCUCCUCCCCUCCCUCUGCAUCCCACCUGUGUUUCCUGAAAUUAUAUUCUCUCCAAGAAAGUGUGGGAGAGACGGGGUCAUUCUGUUUGGCAAGCCAAAAUGCUUGUGCUGACAGAACAAUCAGAAGAGCGCUAUGCUAAAUUCCUCCAUUUUCUGAGCUGGCUUUUGAAACACUUUUUUUAAAAAAAAUCUUGAUUUCUGAAAUCCCAUCCACCUUCCUCAAUCAAUAUUCUUGAAGAUAUGGCCAAUUAUUUUAAUCACAUAUGAAACCUCCAUCGUUAUCAUAUUGUUUCCCUCCCACUUUAAUCAGCCUGCUGAGGGUUUAUUAUUAACUGGGGCACUUCAAACAAAUUUUCAAUAUGGGGUACAAUCAAAAGACUUCCUUUCUUAAUGGGGAAGUAGGGCUGCCAAGCUUAUUUUGUGUUUUCUUUUUGAUUUAUUAUUUCACAGCAUGUUGAGUUCCUUUGUCUAGUGGGGGUAUGCAGGGGGGGGGGAGAAAUAACAUUGCUUUCUAAUAUGAACUCAGUAAAAUCUUUGCAUUAA